GCCGGGUGUGGUGGCGCACGCCUGUAAUCCCAGCUACUCGGGAGGCUGAGGUGGGAGAAUCGCUUGAGCCCAGGAGGUUGAGGCUGCAGGGAGUCGAUAUCACGCCACUACACUCCAGCCUGGGUGACAAAGCAAGACCCUGUCUCAG
rfam:Gorilla gorilla gorilla genomic chromosome, chr17, whole genome shotgun sequence